GAAUAGGAAUACAUAGUUCAGUUUCCCAAAGACACCGUAUCUGACAAAUCGCCAGUCGUAUCAGCAAACUCCGCCGACAUAGCAGAGGUCCUAGCUGAUAUUUCUCGCACAGUCUGGUCUUUGGGCCCCUCUCAUGACAAGAGUGCUGUACAGCAGGAAGAUCGUCCGAUUUUCGAGACACCGCCCAAAGUUGGUGAGAACGUGAUACCUUUAUCUCAGUUUCUCUUGCCUGACGAGAUGCUUCCAAGCCAAACUCCCGAAAGACGAAUGGUUUUGCAUCCAUCAUCGCCCGGAAUAGGCGUCCUAGUAAAUGCCAAGUUUCUCCUUUCAUGGAGGAUUACGACUCUGCUCCAGGAAAGUAUACAUAAACAAGCAUUAAUGUAUUUAAUUUUGUGUAUUCCAAAGCAUAUUAUAUUGAUCAUAUGUAUUUUCUAUAUUUCAGGUGGUUCACAACACAUCACUGUCCGCAUUUUUAAGAAAAAGCAUCCAUUCGCGGAAGAUCCUAUCACCGGCCCAGUCGACACAGAGCUUUUUGAUAAAUACUUGGAGUGAAUUCGCGAGGGACUGCUUGUCAGGCAUGAAAAUAAAAAGAACAAUGAAGACGUUACAGAAAGAAGAUGGCAGCUUUUGAGAAUGAUGCAGAUUAUACUUAUAAUUUUGGCAUCACGGUAGUAGAGAACAAAAACUGGUUCUACCAGUUAUCAAUGAGUGGCCAGCUGUGGAAUGAUGAGCAAAUUGUUGUGAUUUUCUACUACUUAUGAAAGAAAGGCAAGUAUGACAGAAGGAGCAUUUUCAAAUACACAACAGUUGACUAUCUCUUCAUGCAAAAGGUUGAUCAAACAUAUCUUGCAUACAACAACCCGGAAACUGGACCCAAUGUAGCCAACGAAGAAGACGAUAUAUGUCAAUAUGUUAAGGGCUACAGAUUGCAUGCAAAUGUCCCGUGACAUUCAGUUGACAAUAUUUUUAUACCUGUCAACAUCAAAGAGAAUAAUCAUUGGAUUUUGGUUGUAUUCUCAUUCAAUGACAGGUGACUUUUUGUGUACAACUCAUAUCGAGGCAGCGCAGGCCACAACGCAAUUGUUAGAAGGGAAGUACAAAAGCUUGCUGCCCUCCUGGCACAUUAUCUACACAUCAGUGGAUUCUACACUAAAAAAACUAGCAUAAAUUGGCAGAAUCACCCAGCAUAUACGGACAUGACACAGAAUGAGAACAUUCAAGUGGAGUAUGUAGAAAAUCUGCCGCAGCAAGACACUUCUAGCAUGGAUUGUGGUGUGUACGUAGCAGUGUUCGUUGAAUAUCUAAGCACUGGUGAAGGUAUCCCAGCACAAAUCGAUGCAAGAAUGCCCCGCACUAGGUACGGCGCACUCCUUUGGGACUAUGCUGCACGGAAGAUCGAUGAACAUGCUAUGAGCGACAUUGAGGCGCCACCAAAACCAGUUAGGCCAGCAGUGGAUUAUGACAAAGUUGACACAAUUGAUGUUACUUAGGAUCGAUGUAGGAAUAUUUAAUUGUAAUUUCAGACUAUGGCUAUUUUUAUAGCAAAUAUUUUAGAUUUAGUUAGUUUAAGACUAUCUUAUCAAUUUCCUUAAAUUUUAAUUGGAACAUUUAGCUUAGUCUAAUUAUCAAAGUUGUGUGAUUUUAUUUUUGGAAUUUAGAUGAAUGUGUAUAUACGCUAUAUCUUGGAUGUGAUACAGUGAGGUACACUCAAAUACGUACGCGUAUUUAGAUCCUGAAACAAGGGGGUUGUAUGUAUUUGAAUUCGCCAUACCCAGAAACAUUAAAAUAUUUCAAAUACAAUUGCAACUUAAUAAGA